UGGCUCAGACGGUAAAGCAUCUGCCUACAAUGCAGGAGAUCCAGGUUCAAUCCCUGG
rnacentral:tRNA from 1 species